rnacentral:rRNA from 1 species
UACGAAGGGGGGCUAGCGUUGCUCGGAAUCACUGGGCGUAAAGGGUGCGUAGGCGGGUCUUUUAAGUCAGGGGUGAAAUCCUGGAGCUCAACUCCAGAACUGCCUUUGAUACUGAAGAUCUUGAGUUCGGGAGAGGUGAGUGGAACUGCGAGUGUAGAGGUGAAAUUCGUAGAUAUUCGCAAGAACACCAGUGGCGAAGGCGGCUCACUGGCCCGAGUACUGACGCUGAGGCACGAAAGCGUGGGGAGCAAACAGG